rnacentral:rRNA from 1 species
UACGAAGGGGGCUAGCGUUGCUCGGAAUCACUGGGCGUAAAGCGCACGUAGGCGGCUUUUUAAGUCAGGGGUGAAAUCCUGGAGCUUAACUCCAGAACUGCCUUUGAUACUGAAGAGCUAGAGUCCGGAAGAGGUGAGUGGAACUGCGAGUGUAGAGGUGAAAUUCGUAGAUAUUCGCAAGAACACCAGUGGCGAAGGCGGCUCACUGGCCCGGAACUGACGCUGAGGUGCGAAAGCGUGGGGAGCAAACAGG